GUCUGGUGUAUAGUAGUCUGCCAGUUAACCUGUCACUGCCUGAUUCAAAAUUAAGUGCUCAAUUUCCUGUCAGUUUGCCACAAAACUUUUUAUAGUUAAGAUUUUAUUGUCACUAAUACUUUAAAAACUUUUUAAAUCUUUUUACUUUUUAACUUUUUAAAUCUUUUUACUUUUUAUCACAUAGAAUGAGUGUUCAAAGAAAAUCCAAAGCUGCAUUUACUCACAAAAACAUUUAAAUCAUAGUUAAGAAACAAUGCAAUAAACAUGUGGUUUCAUCUCCUACAAAAUCAGAUCCUGAAUAUCCUGCAGGCUCAUGUCACGGGUGUCAAUCAUAAUGUAGACGGAGAACAGGACAGCCAGGAAACAACUGACAGAGAAUAUCCAGAAGACUGUGUACAUGCCACAUAUCUCAUUGAUAUAAGGGAAGAGUUUAGUGAUGACAAAGCUGAGGCCCCAGCUGUAUCCCACAGUUACUGCCGAUGACGCACCUUUAACAUUCGGCGGAAACACUUCUCCUUUGACAGCACAAGAAGCAGACGCAAUCAACAUAUUUUUGAUCCCAUAAGCCUUGGUGAGAGGCAUGGCAACACCAGCAAAGGCUAUUAAAAUAACUGCUACCACAAUAGUAGCAUUGCUGGCAGAAAGACCUAUAUCUCCGGCCUGGUUGAAGAUCGUCUCUGAAUAGAAGAGGACUACAUUGAUGCCACUCAUCUGCUGAAAGGUCAUGGCACCACAAGAGAGCAUCAAGGCCUUACGAUUGGUACUGGUGCUGAUCAACUCCAAUAAUGUACCUUUCUCUUUCAUAGCUUCCUCAACUGACACCUAGUUGAACAGAUUUUUUGUUAAUGAUAUUUCAAGAAUUUGCUAUCUGGACAUCAGUCAGUCAAAUCAGUGCUCUAGAGCCUCUGUAUCUGAAGAAACCGCUUAGAAAGACUUGUAAUUGUUAGAAGGUCCCCUAAUAUUAAGCUGCCUCAGAACUCUCAAGCAGUCCUCAUUCUUUGAUUAGUGUAGUGUAUUUAGUGUGAUAAAUACUAAGUUGGUAAUGUACCCAUAGCAAUAUUUAAUGUCAGCACCAGUUAUGUUGGCAGUAUGUAUUGUCAGGCGAUGUAUCAUACAAUGUAGUCUGAUUAAAUCCAUACGAAUAAAGAAUCCUCAUAGGCUGCUCUCCUGUGACGUCAGGAGUUUUUGAUUUUUUGACGUCACAGGAGAGCAGCCUAUGAGCAUUCUUUAUUCAAAUGGAUUAAAUCAGACUACAUCGUAUGAUACAUCACCUGACAAUACAUACUGCCAACAUAACUGGUGCAGACAUUAAAUAUUGCUAUGGGUACAUUACCAACUUAGUAUUUAUCACACUAAAUACACUACAAUUAGCACACAAAAUUUCAGUUACUCGUAUUAAGUUGUCAUUAAUUUGUACAACCUGCAAUCAAUACUGAGGUAUUUAUACAAUAUUCUGAAUAUAUUUACAAAGUAUUAUAAGCUGUUAAAAUGUAUAAUUGAUUUAUUUUAACCUUGAAUUGGAAAUAAUAUUUAUGUUAAUCUCAGAAUAGAUUCAGGAACUCACUUGAUGGAUUUUAUUAAUGGAAAAUUCAAUACACUUCCAAACAUAUUGUAUAGUUAUAGUCUAUAGUAAACAUUAAAACAAUUAAAACCUUAGAGAUAUUUUGGAACCUUAUUAUAUAUAAUAAAUAUGUAUCUAUUUUAAUUAUGAUGGUAUAACUUGGUACAUUAAUAUACAUGUUAUGAACAGUCAGAGAAAAAUAAUUAAAAUUUUAAAACCUUUAUGUCUAAAAAAAUUAUCUUAAAUUUAUUAAAAGUGAAAUAACAUGUUUUAAAAUAUAUAAACAUAAAAUGUUAUACACUUAAAGCCAAAAAUUGUGUAAUCCACUCUUUCUUUAAUUCUGAAGAAAAAAUUGUAUUGUUUUUAUAAGUUAUGAGCAAUAGUGUGUGUAAUGCAUAUCUAAAUAAAAGUUAGACUUAAAUAUGUAUGACAUGUAAACAUUUAUAUUAGUUAUUAAAAUUAAGAAAAGAUUGACUAAUCCAUUUUAAAUUAGUAGUAGUAAAUUAAACUUACUUUUAUAACUUGUAGUUCCCGCUCAAUGUCUUUCUUCUGCCAACCUUUCCUGAGCGUUUUUAGUGACUUAUGAGCACCCUCAACAUCAUUCUUCAUAAUGUAGUAAUAAGGGGAUUCGGGGAUGAAAGGACACAAUAGGAAGAAAAACAUAGGUGCAACACAGGACACCAGGACUAGAUCCCAAUAUGAGACAAGGGGCCCAAAUAUGUACUCUACAAGAUAUCCAGAAGCGAAGAAGAAGUUUAGAGUUGAUCCAAGAGCACUGCGCACAUCGUCCUGAAUGUAAACAGAGAACAUCUUCAAUCAUUUGUGGAUAGGAUAAUUUUGAUUUACAAUUUUCAACAUCAAGAAUAAACAACAUCAGUGAAUGUUAAUGUGAUCCUGCAGAGCAUGACUAUUCCCAUUAAAGUGAAUUAAUGAAUUAAUUAUUAUGUGGGUCACAUUACAAUUUGUUCUAUAUUUAUACUUGUGUAACUAUGUUUCAUGAAUUUGUUUUUAGUUGGUAGCAAUAAAAAAAUGGAAUAGUUUAUUUUAGAAAAUACAUAAGUUAUAUUUUAAAUUAGUUUUUAGAAAACCGUAAUUUUUAUUAAAUGAACUUUAGGAGUACAAACUGCCAAUAUUAGAUAUUGGUGUGCUCAAGUGUAUCUUAUUAGUAAAUUAAGUUAGGCUUGGAUGUACUGUAUGUUACAGUCAAAGCUUCUGUUGCCCAUUCAAAACUUAGUUUAAUCAAAGGCCAAGAUCAAAACCAGUUUUGACUAGUCAAUACAAGUUUUUACCAAACUCUCUAGUUUCACUAACCAAACUCAAACACAACGUUAUCCAAGCCAGGCAGUCAAAACUAGAUUUGCCUAGUUAUGACUAAAUAAUUUAGUCAAAACUGGUUGAUAUAUAUUGGUCCAAUCUAGUUGGGAUAUUGACAUUUUUUCAAAACUAGAUUUGCCUGUCAUGUAGUAUCUAGUACAGAAAUAUUCCAAAAAACAUUACUUUUUAUCUCUAUGAUGAAUAAACAUAUUUUAUCAUAUUCACUCA